CCCGCUGAACUUAAGCAUAUCAAUAAGCGGAGGAAAAGAAACCAACCGGGAUUGCCUCAGUAACGGCGAGUGAAGCGGCAAGAGCUCAAAUUUGAAAGCUGGCUCCUUCGGGGUCCGCAUUGUAAUUUGCAGAGGAUGCUUCGGGUGCGGCCCCUGUCUAAGUGCCCUGGAACGGGCCGUCAGAGAGGGUGAGAAUCCCGUCUGGGAUGGGGUGUCCGCGCCCGUGUGAAGCUCCUUCGACGAGUCGAGUUGUUUGGGAAUGCAGCUCUAAAUGGGUGGUAAAUUUCAUCUAAAGCUAAAUACUGGCCGGAGACCGAUAGCGCACAAGUAGAGUGAUCGAAAGAUGAAAAGCACUUUGAAAAGAGAGUUAAAAAGCACGUGAAAUUGUUGAAAGGGAAGCGCUUGCGACCAGACUCGCCUCCAGGGUUCAGCCGGCAUUCGUGCCGGUGUACUUCCCUGGGGGCGGGCCAGCGUCGGUUUGGGCGGCCGGUCAAAGGCUCCCGGAAUGUAGUGCCCUCCGGGGCACCUUAUAGCCGGGAGUGCAAUGCGGCCAGCCUGGACCGAGGAACGCGCUUCGGCACGGACGCUGGCAUAAUGGUCGUAAACGACCCGUCUUG
rnacentral:rRNA from 1 species